AUACGGAGGGUGCAAGCGUUAAUCGGAAUUACUGGGCGUAAAGGGCGCGUAGGCGGUCUAUCAAGUCAGUUGUGAAAUCCCACGGCUCAACCGUGGAGGUGCAUCUGAAACUGAUAGACUUGAGUAUGGGAGAGGAAAGUGGAAUUCCCGGUGUAGAGGUGAAAUUCGUAGAUAUCGGGAGGAACACCAGUGGCGAAGGCGACUUUCUGGACCAAUACUGACGCUGAGGCGCGAAAGCGUGGGGAGCAAACAGGAUUAGAAACCCGAGUAGUCC
rnacentral:rRNA from 1 species